CCUUCCAAUUUCCUAAACGGCUAAACCAAAACUAAAGUCCCAAGCGUAUUCCAAUUUCCACCACCUCGCUGCUGCUGUUUCAACCACCGACGUCGUGGUCGCAACUGUCGUCGCCGCCGAUGGUGCAUCGUUCCGGUGUGAGUUCCCAAUCUAAUUCCCUUUUACGAUCCUUUACCUUUUCGGUGUGGAGGAGUUGCGGUGCUGGUUUCUGCUACUGCUACCACAUUUUGGAUUUCGAUAAGGUUUGGCCGAUUUUUGAUUCCGCACAAUCGCGUGAUUUUCGAAAGGUUGUGCUUCCCAGGAGCAAUUCAAGAGUUUCUUCACUUGCUACGUGUUGUGGACCUAGAUUGGUAUACUCACAUGUAAUUGAUUACUCAAAGUUUAGUUUAUUUGUGCUUUUGUAUGUAGUUUAUUCUCUGGAUUCCCGGGAGCAAUUCAAGAGUUUCUUCACUUGCUAUGUGUAUGUAGUUGUUUUUUUUUUAAUGCCUAACCUUACCAUGUACAUAUUCCCAACAUCAACCUU